AAGCUCAUUCCUUCAUUAUUUUUUACGAAUUCACUGAACUCUAGAGAGAGAAAAUUAUAGAGAAAAAGAAGAAAAGAUUUCUGCUACUUAACUACUCUUAUAUUUCAGUUCUUCUUUAAACGGUAAGGGGUGUUAUUCUUUCUUAUUCAUGAAGAGAACUGUUAUUAUUCCAUUUCUUAUUAUUCUGUUGGAAUAACCUGUAUACG
rnacentral:lncRNA from 1 species